UGCAGCCUGUGCACCUCUCUCUCUUCCCCUGUACCAGAAUUAAUUUCUCCCCAGAGCUGAUAGGCUACGCUCUACUGCAGCCAAUCCAUAUAAUUAGGCCUUCAGCAAUGUAAACCCUUGGCUCAGACUUCAAGUCCAUUUCAAUAUUAGGUGUAGACAUGACAAUGGCUUCAUCAAAUGUGCUCCAUCAGUCACUCUCAUUACUAUCCAAUUGUGAGAGAAGGGCUUCUCCGUCCUGCAUACUAGAACACAAGCUGGCAGCAACAACACACCCAAGGACAAGCCAGGACUCCUCCACGAAGCCAUGUCUGUAUUUUCUCUUUCUACCUGUGGAAUCAUAUUGCCUAAAAAUGUAAUUUCACAGUGAACUGUGUUCACAGUUUUCAUUAUCUUUAACUUAAUUUGCGUCAACUGACAACCGGCCUAUUUCAAUUUCAGUUCAACUCUUAUUAUGCUAUCAGCGUCUGUGACUUAAAAAGUAAUUAAAAAGCUCUUCACACUUAACAAUCCAGUAUAUAGAUGUUUCUGGAUGUGCUUUGAAAUGACAACAUGUUGUACAGCUUUUCAAAUCUGGGUGCAAGGCUGAUUUCCUCAAAGAGGUGGGGACUAGAAGUGAUUCAAUGAAUUUGGCUCCCAUUUCAAUUUCCUGUCAGUCGCAUACGUGAACCAAGCAGCAGAAAAAGAUGCAGAGUUUUAAAAUGGAUUCAAAAUGCAUAAUUUACUUGAGAAGUAUGCAGUUGAGAUGUUUGAAAUGUAGCAGACUUAUGUUUCUCCAUGUUUGACAACAUUAAGAAGCAUCUGCAUGAGCUAUUUAACCUCUGACUGGUUCACUGGAGGAGCUCAGUGGCAAACUGGGUUCAAACUACACCUCCCUCAAUGAAUCAUGCCCUGUAUUACAUAAAUAAAAAGGAAAAGGGACUUAUAGACACGAGUUCAAUUCAAAAGGAACUUCACUUUUUAUGAAAUAAGUCUGGCUUAGUUUUCUUUGUUUUUGUUUUAUACACUGUAAAAUAUAAUAUGUAAAAUUUAUAGUGAAAAAUUAUAAAAUACCAACAGUUACAGACUGUAACAGCCAAAGCAUUAUAUUACCAUAUAUAAACAGAGCGAGGGUGCUGGAAAUAGGAUUUCAGGAUUUUACUAUAUGACAAUGCUGUGAAUAUGUAUGAGAAAAAUGGGAUAAGAGAGAGCGGUGCCUUUUUUCCCAUUGACAAGGUACUCUGGACUUCACUGUGGCAUACAUUCAACAAAGAGUGUCACAUAUGAGGAGCUGGACAGUGCCAAGGCAGGAUCCACACCUAGUGGCUCAAAGAGCACAACUUCUCUCAAUGAGUGCAGCCCAGAGGAACCCACUGCUGAAGAAUGGGGCUCACCCUGAAUGGCUGACCAAGGGCCAAACAUUCCUUAAUAUGGAAGAUCCCAGAAGUGAACAAUCCAUUCCUACUGGCCACUAAUCUGUCUCUCCACAACACGGAAACUCAUAUCAUGCAUCCUAGCAGCUAGAAUAAGCAGACACAUGGAUCAAUAUGUAGUUGUGGCACAAAAAGGCAUUAGCAAAAAUACCAGCGGAGCUGAACACCAGCUGAUAGCUGACAGAACAAUGGCCUGAGAUAGCAAAACUGACAGAAACCUAUGCACUGCUUUGUUUGACUACAAAUAAAGCAAUGUCAGAUAUGUGGAUCCUGGAAUUUCUAAAGCUGUAUUAAGUCAACAACUUCAAGACAAUGGUGCAAGGCUCAAUAAAAUGCGGAAUAAAUUAAGAGAUUCUUCAUCCCCACUGCUGUUCUGUAUUUGUUUGAACCUCCUUAGCCAACUAAUCAACAAGACUGGCUGCUGGUUGUGGAUACCAACUCAGAAAUGGGAUCUGAGUUGGUAUCCAUCAACUUAAUGUCACUUCCUCUAUAUGGAUGACAUUAAGCUGUAUGCCAAGAAUAAACAAGAGAUCAACUUACUGAUCCAAGGGUUUAAAGCAGGGACGUCAGCCCUUCAAGCUGGAGAGAAGGUAAUACAAAUAAAGGGAAUUCCACUACCAGAGAGGAGAGUGGCAGAUGUUGAGGAGAGCUGUGGGAUACAACAGGGUGGAAAAAAAAACCCUGGAUGGGCUCUACCACCAGCAGACGGCUGAAGUGGCUGAUAAAUCUUACCAAUGUCUAAAAAGGGAAGGUAGAGGCUCAAAUCAUAAUUUCCAGAUCUGUGACACCAUAAAUUUGUCCUAAAGACACAUUUAGCCUCAUUUUCCUAAAUAUUCUCAUAUGCCGUGGGAUCGGUUUGCUUGUACAGUUUCAGCUGUGAAUUGCAGAAUC